UUGCCGAUUCGCACACAUUGGAAUGUGGCUAUCUCCUCCUAAGGCUUUCGUCCCACUGAAACCAAAUUUGCUCAGGCCAAUCUACACCCCAUGGCCAUUAAAAGUUAUUCAAAUCAUGAUGCUGCACCCCACGGUUUACGUUCUAGGGGGCGCCAAAGAUGACCAAAAAAUCCACAUUCUUAAAAGAAUCCACAUUCUCCCCCCAUGGCAGGAGAAAAAGUCAAGUUUUUCCUGCCCAUCGCUCAAUGGCUCAAUCGCAUCGCUCUCCAGGCAACACCGUAACGAGGAGCAACCUGCCAUUUGGAUAUAUCCCAGCUGUGUUUGUGCCCUCACUCAUGGUCCAGACUUUUUUCAAAUAGGACAUGAAGUUUGUCUGCAGCGAGUGUUUUGGUAGAAACUGCGCCUCCCAUUCAUUAUAAUGGGAAAUGACCACAGACAAGUGCGCACACCAUCUUUGGUCCUUGAGUGUGACGCGAUCGGGAGGGAGAGGCGGUCACCCUGGGGGCGGCACGAUGCGGCUCGGGCCCGACAGUGCCCCACCGGGGCCCUAGUUAUUAUUAUUUUUCCUCCCCUUUGAACUGGAAAAUGGCCCACUUCCCACUGGUGAAAACUCAUGAAAUUUGGCAGGACGACCGGGCCUGGUGAAAAAUUUGAUAUUCCGAAGUCGCCCAAACAAGAAAAUGCAAAAUGGCUCCAUAGCGCCCCCUAAGGUGAAAAUUCACACUAUUGACUGUCACGCCGGUACGCUUUGUCAAAAUGACACAAAAAUUGACACACACAUGUAUCUCAAUAAGAUCUACAAAAAAGUCAGUGCGGGCGUAUCUGUCAAAUGUACGGUUAAAGGGUUAUUUCGCAUUUUUUGCCGAUCCGCACACAUUGGAAUUUCGCUAACUCCUCCGAAGGCUUUCGUUCCACCGGCACCACAUUUGCUCAGGCCAAUCUACACCCCAUGGCCAUUAAAAGUUAUUCAAAUCAUGACGCUGCACCCCACGGUUUAGGUUCUAGGGGGCGCCAAAGAUAACCCUAAGAUCCACAUAUUUAAAAGUCUUAUAACUUUUUAUUUUUGCCCUCACUGGCCUCCAAGUUUUCUAGGAUGAUGCAAUGUCCAGCCAUCAACACAUUUGUGAAGGAAUUUUUACUCCCCAAAAGAGCGCCCCCCCAUGGCAGGAGAAAAAAGUCCAUUUUUUCUUGUCCCCUAAGGUGAAAAUACACAUUGUUGAGUGUAACACCUGUACGCUUUGGCAUAAUGACACAAAAAUUGACACACACGUAUCUCAAUAAGAUCUACGAAAAAGUAAAUGCGCGCGUAUCUGUCAAAUGUACGGUUAAAGGGUUAUUCCGCAUUUUUUGCCGAUCCGCAAACAUUGGAAUUUCGCUAACUCCUCCGAAGGCUUUCGUUCCACCGGCACCACAUUUGCUCAGGCCAAUCUACACCCCAUGGCCAUUAAAAGUUAUUCAAAUCAUGACGCUGCACCCCACGGUUUAGGUUCUAGGGGGAGCCAAAGAUAACCGUAAAAUCCACAUAUUUAAAAGUCUUAUAACUUUUUAUUUUUGCCCUCACUGGCCUCCAAGUUUUCUAGGAUGAUGCAAUGUCCAGCCAUCAACACAUUUGUGAAGGAAUUUUUACUCCCCAAAAGAGCGCCCCCCAUGGCAGGAGAAAAAAGUCCAUUUUUUCUUGUCCCCUAAGGUGAAAAUACACAUUGUUGAGUGUAACACCUGUACGCUUUGGCAAAAUGACACAAAAAUUGACACACACAUGUAUCUCAAUAAGAUCUACGAAAAAGUCAAUGCGCGCGUAUCUGUCAAAUGUACGGUUAAAGGGUUAUUCCGCAUUUUUUGCCGAUCCGCACACAUUGGAAUUUCGCUAACUCCUCCGAAGGCUUUCGUUCCACCGGCACCACAUUUGCUCAGGCCAAUCUACACCCCAUGGCCAUUAAAAGUUAUUCAAAUCAUGACGCUGCACCCCACGGUUUAGGUUCUAGGGGGAGCCAAAGAUAACCGUAAAAUCCACAUAUUUAAAAGUCUUAUAACUUUUUAUUUUUGUCCCCACUGGCCUCCAAGUUUUCUAGGAUGAUGCAAUGUCCAGCCAUCAACACAUUUGUGAAGGAAUUUUUACUCGGCAAAAGAGCGCCCCCCCAUGGCAGGAGAAAAAAGUCAAUUUUUUCUUGUCCCCUAAGGUGAAAAUACACAUUGUUGAGUGUAACACCUGUACGCUUUGGCAUAAUGACACAAAAAUUGACACACACGUAUCUCAAUAAGAUCUACGAAAAAGUAAAUGCGCGCGUAUCUGUCAAAUGUACGGUUAAAGGGUUAUUCCGCAUUUUUUGCCGAUCCGCAAACAUUGGAAUUUCGCUAACUCCUCCGAAGGCUUUCGUUCCACCGGCACCACAUUUGCUCAGGCCAAUCUACACCCCAUGGCCAUUAAAAGUUAUUCAAAUCAUGACGCUGCACCCCACGGUUUAGGUUCUAGGGGGAGCCAAAGAUAACCGUAAAAUCCACAUAUUUAAAAGUCUUAUAACUUUUUAUUUUUGCCCUCACUGGCCUCCAAGUUUUCUAGGAUGAUGCAAUGUCCAGCCAUCAACACAUUUGUGAAGGAAUUUUUACUCCCCAAAAGAGCGCCCCCCCAUGGCAGGAGAAAAAAGUCCAUUUUUUCUUGUCCCCUAAGGUGAAAAUACACAUUGUUGAGUGUAACACCUGUACGCUUUGGCAAAAUGACACAAAAAUUGACACACACAUGUAUCUCAAUAAGAUCUACGAAAAAGUCAAUGCGCGCGUAUCUGUCAAAUGUACGGUUAAAGGGUUAUUCCGCAUUUUUUGCCGAUCCGCACACAUUGGAAUUUCGCUAACUCCUCCGAAGGCUUUCGUUCCACCGGCACCACAUUUGCUCAGGCCAAUCUACACCCCAUGGCCAUUAAAAGUUAUUCAAAUCAUGACGCUGCACCCCACGGUUUAGGUUCUAGGGGGAGCCAAAGAUAACCGUAAAAUCCACAUAUUUAAAAGUCUUAUAACUUUUUAUUUUUGUCCCCACUGGCCUACAAGUUUUCUAGGAUGAUGCAAUGUCCAGCCAUCAACACAUUUGUGAAGGAAUUUUUACUCGGCAAAAGAGCGCCCCCCCAUGGCAGGAGAAAAAAGUCAAUUUUUUCUUGUCCACUAAGGUGAAAAUACACAUUGUUGAGUGCUACGCCUGUAUGUUUUGUCGUAUUGACACAAAAUUUUACAUACACGUGUAUUUACAUAAGAUCUUCGAAAAAGUCAAUGGCCACGUAUCUGUAAAAUGUACGGUUAAAGGGUUAUUUGGCAUUUUUUGCAGAUUCGCACACAUUGGAAUUUCGCUAAUUCCUCCGAAGGCUUUCGUUCCACCGGCACCACAUUUGCUCAGGCCAAUCUACACCCCAUGGCCAUUAAAAGUUAUUCAAAUCAUGACGCUGCACCCCACGGUUUAGGUUCUAGGGGGCGCCAAAUAUAACCCUAAAAUCCACAUAUUUAAAAGUCUUAUAACUUUUUAUUUUUGUCCUCACUGGCCUCCAUGUUUUCUAGGAUGAUGCAAUGUCCAGCCAUCAACACAUUUGUGAAGGAGUUUUUUCUCUUUAAAAGAGCGCCCCCCAUGGCAGGAGAAUAAAGUCAAGUUUUUCCUGUUCAUCAUUCAAUGGCUCAAACGCACUGCUCUCUCGGCAAAAGCGAAAGGAGGAGCAACUUGCCAUUUGGAUAUAUCUUAGCUGUGUUUGUGCCCUCACUCAUGGUCCAGACUUUUUUCAAAUAGGACAUGGAGUUUUUCUGCAGCGAGCGUUUUGGUAGAAACUGCGCCUCCCGUUCAUUAUAAUGGUAAAUGACCACAAACAAGUGCGCACACCAUCUUUGGACCUUGAGUGUGACGCGAUCGGGUGGGGGAGGCGGUCGCGCUGGGGGCGGCGUGACACGGCUCGGGCCCGCCAGUGCCCCAACGGGGCCCUAGUUAGGGCCCGAGCGUAGCUGCUAAGCAGCUGCGAGAGCCCUCUUGUUCCUGAUGGAUUCUUCUUUCGUUAUUUUUCCUCCGCUUUAAACUGGAAAAUGGCCCACUUCCCACUGGCGAAAACUCAGGAAAUUUGGCAGGACGACCGGGCCUGGUGAAAAAUUUGAUAUUCUGAAGUCGCCCAAACAAAAAAAUGAAAAAUGGCUGCAUAGCGCCCCCUAUGGUGAAAACUCACCUGACGCCUGUACACUUUGUCAAAAUGACACAAAAUUUGACACACAUGUGUAUCUCAAUAAGAUCUACAAAAAAGUCAGUGCGGGCGUAUCUGUCAAAUGUACCGUUAAAGGGCUAUUUCGCAUUUUUUGCCGAUCCGCACACAUUGGAAUUUCGCUAACUCCUCCGAAGGCUUUCGUUCCACCGGCACCACAUUUGCUCAGGCCAAUCUACACCCCAUGGCCAUUAAAAGUUGUACAAAUCAUGAUGCUGCACCCCACGGUUUACGUUCUAGGGGGCGCCAAAGAUAACCCAAAAAUCCACAUUCUUAAAAGUCAUAACUUUUUAUUUUUGUCCUCACUGGCCUCCAAGUUUUCUAGGAUGAUGCCAUGUCAAGCCAUCAACACAUUUGUGAAGGAAUUUUUACUCCCCAAAAGAGCGCCCCCCCAUGGCAGGAGAAAAAAGUCAAGUUUUUCUUGUCCCCUAACAUGAAAAUACACAUUGUUGAGUGUCACGCCUAAACGCUUUGUCAUAUUGACAAAAAAUUUGACAAUCACGUGUAUCUCAAUAAGAUCUACAAAAAAGUCAAAGAGCGCGUAUCUGUAUAAUGUACGGUUAAAGGGCUAUUUUGCAUUUUUUGCCGAUCCGCACACAUUGGAAUUUCGCUAACUCCUCCGAAGGCUUUCGUUCCACCGGCACCAAAUUUGCUCAGGCCAAUCUACACCCCAUGGCCAUUAAAAGUUGUACAAAUCAUGACGCUGCACCCCACGGUUUAGGUUCUAGGGGGCGCCAAAGAUAACCCAAAAAUCCACAUUCUUAAAAGUCUUAUAACUUUUUAUUUUUGUCCUCACUGGCCUCCAAGUUUUCUAGGAUAAUGCAAUGUGCAGCCAUCAACACAUUUGUGAAGGAAAUUUUACUCCCCAAAAGAGCGCCCCCCCAUGGCAGGAGAAAAAAGUCUAUUUUUUCUUGUCCCCUAAGGUGAAAAUACACAUUGUUUAGUGUCACGCCUGUACGCUUUGGCAAAAUGACACAAAUAUUGACACACACAUGUAUCUCAAUAAGAUCUACGAAAAAGUCAAAGAGCGCGUAUCUGUCAAAUGUACGGUUAAAGGGUUAUUCCGCAUUUUUUGCCGAUCCGCACACAUUGGAAUGUGGCUAACUCCUCCUAAGGCUUUCGUUCCACUGGCACCACAUUUGCUCAGGCCAAUCUACACCCCAUGGCCAUUAAAAGUUAUUCAAAUCAUGACGCUGCACCCCACGGUUUAGGUUCUAGGGGGCGCCAAAGAUAACCCUAAAAUCCACAUAUUUAAAAGUCUUAUAACUUCUUAUUUUUGUCCUCACUGGCCUCCAGGUUUUCUAGGAUGAUGCAAUGUCCAGCCAUCAACACAUUUGUGAAGGAAUUUUUACUCCCCAAAAGAGCGCCCCCCCAUGGCAGGAGAAAAAAGUCCAUUUUUUCUUGUCCCCUAAGGUGAAAAUACAUAUUGUUGAGAUUCACGCCUAUACGCUUUGUCAUAUUGACACAAAAUUUGACAAUCACGUGUAUCUCAAUAAGAUCUACGAAAAAGUCAAUGGGCGUGUAUCUGUCAAAUGUACGGUUAAAGGGCUAUUUUGCAUUUUUUGCCGAUUCGCACACAUUGGAAUGUGGCUAACUCCUCCUAAGGCUUUCGUCCCACUGACACCAAAUUUGCUCAGGCCAAUCUACACCCCAUGGCCAUUCAAAGUUGUAAAAAUCAUGACGCUGCACCCCACGGCUCACGUUCUAGGGGGCGCCAAAGAUGACCCAAAUAUCCACAUUCUUAAAAGAAUCCACAUCCCCCCCCCCAUCCCC